rnacentral:rRNA from 1 species
GAUCAUGGCUCAGGACGAACGCUGGGGCGCGCCUAACACAUGCAAGUCGAACGAGCGAGAGAGAGCUUGCUUUCUCGAGCGAGUGGCGAACGGGUGAGUAACGCGUGAGGAACCUGCCUCAAAGAGGGGGACAACAGUUGGAAACGACUGCUAAUACCGCAUAAGCCCACAGGUCGGCAUCGACCAGAGGGAAAAGGAGCAAUCCGCUUUGAGAUGGCCUCGCGUCCGAUUAGCUUAG